UAUCGUUUAUUUGAUAGUACCUUUCUACUAGGAUAACCGUGGUAAUUCUAGAGCUAAUACUUGCUAAAAACCCCGACUUCGGAAGGGGUGUAUUUAUUAGAUAAAAAACCAAUGCCCUUCGGGGCUCUCUGGUGAUUCAUCAUAACUUAACGGAUCGCAUGGCCUUGCGCCGGCGACGGUUCAUUCAAAUUUCUGCCCUAUCAACUUUCGAUGGUAAGGUAUUGGCUUACCAUGGUUUCAACGGGUAACGGGGAAUUAGGGUUCGACUCCGGAGAAGGAGCCUGAGAAACGGCUACUACAUCCAAGGAAGGCAGCAGGCGCGCAAAUUACCCAAUCCCGACACGGGGAGGUAGUGACAAUAAAUACUGAUACAGGGCGCUUUUGCGUCUUGUAAUUGGAAUGAGUACAAUUUAAACCCCUUAACGAGGAACAAUUGGAGGGCAAGUCUGGUGAAGUCUCAGCUUCCAUCUCUGCUGACGCCAGAUAGAGUUUGCAUAGCAAGCUAGUCGAGCACCCAUAAAUGAUGGGAGGGUAGCCGGCAAGACAACCUUAUUCGGAGGAGACUACGGCACUUUUAGGAGUGUUAGGUUAAUUCCGAGCAGUGCGAAAGCGAGGUGACUCGCCUAUAGCCUGUGUAGAGCGCGGUAAGGUGUCGGCCAAUUCAGACGAAUUGGCUUAAGGUACGUGCCAUUUCCAUCUGAAAGGAUGGCUGUCAGGAAUAGCGCCCAUCGCGCGAAGACUGAUGGGGGUCAGAAAAGCGUUUCUGAUUUACUUUCAAGGCCAGCAGCCGCGGUAAUUCCAGCUCCAAUAGCGUAUAUUAAAGUUGUUGCAGUUAAAAAGCUCGUAGUUGAACCUUGGGCCUGGCUGGCCGGUCCGCCUCACCGCGUGUACUGGUCCGGCCGGGCCUUUCCUUCUGGAGAACUGCAUGCCCUUUACUGGGUGUGUUAGGGAACCAGGACUUUUACUUUGAAAAAAUUAGAGUGUUCAAAGCAGGCCUUUGCUCGAAUACGUUAGCAUGGAAUAAUAGAAUAGGACGUGUGGUUCUAUUUUGUUGGUUUCUAGGACCGCCGUAAUGAUUAAUAGGGAUAGUCGGGGGCAUCAGUAUUCAAUUGUCAGAGGUGAAAUUCUUGGAUUUAUUGAAGACUAACUACUGCGAAAGCAUUUGCCAAGGAUGUUUUCAUUAAUCAGUGAACGAAAGUUAGGGGAUCGAAGACGAUCAGAUACCGUCGUAGUCUUAACCGUAAACUAUGCCGACUAGGGAUCGGGCGAUGUUAUUAUUUUGACUCGCUCGGCACCUUACGAGAAAUCAAAGUUUUUGGGUCCGGGGGG
rnacentral:rRNA from 1 species